GUGUGUCAGAUAUUUGUGGCUGUAAUAUUUGUCACCCUAUUGAUUGGAAAGGUUAAAAGAAUACAGCAGACUAGGUGGGUAUCUUGUUUCCCUCUCUCUGUUACUCUGUUUGCUCCUCCUUAAGCUGUGUCAUUUGUGGAAGAAGACAACUGAACCAGACAAAAGGAGAACAUUCUUGGGUUAAGGGCCUGGAAGUAACUGUACGCCUUUGCUAGAUAUUCAAGUUAGCUCUCAAGGUCCUUUUAUAGGAGAAUGUAGGCAGGCAAAAAUAUUAAUAGAUGGCUCUAGAAUUCCUCUAAGAAAUAAAGCUGUGUUUGUUG
ensembl:misc_RNA 7SK 7SK RNA